rnacentral:rRNA from 1 species
AUACGGAGGGUGCAAGCGUUAAUCGGAAUUACUGGGCGUAAAGCGCGCGUAGGCGGUUAUUUAAGUCAGAUGUGAAAUCCCUGGGCUCAGCCUAGGAACUGCAUCUGAUACUGGGUAACUAGAGUUUUGGAGAGGUAAGUGGAAUUUCCGGUGUAGCGGUGAAAUGCAUAGAGAUCGGAAGGAACACCAGUGGCGAAGGCGACUUACUGGCCAAAAACUGACGCUGAGGUGCGAAAGCGUGGGUAGCAAACAGGAUUAGAUACUCUUGUAGUCC